ACGGGAGGCAGCAGUGGGGGAUAUUGCACAAUGGGCGCAAGCCUGAUGCAGCAACGCCGCGUGCGGGAAGACGGCCUUCGGGUUGUAAACCGCUGUCCUUGGUGAAGAAACAAAUGACGGUAACCAUGGAGGAAGCCACGGCUAACUACGUGCCAGCAGCCGCGGUAAUACGUAGGUGGCGAGCGUUGUCCGGAUUUACUGGGUGUAAAGGGAGCGCAGGCGGGACAGCAAGUUGGAUGUGAAAUACCGAGGCUUAACCACGGAGCUGCAUCCAAAACUGCCGUUCUUGAGUGAAGUAGAGGUAGGCGGAAUUCCGAGUGUAGCGGUGAAAUGCGUAGAUAUUCGGAGGAACACCGGUGGCGAAGGCGGCCUACUGGGCUUUAACUGACGCUGAGGCUCGAAAGUGUGGGGAGCAAACAGGAUUAGAUACCCUGGUA
rnacentral:rRNA from 1 species